GCGUUUGUUCGUGUUCCGGUCACGCCUGCCCCGAUUUUUUUUUUUUUUUUGGUGCUGCAUUAUUUUAAGCACUGUGUUGUAGAACAGGGAGGCGUUCCCAGUGUUCCCAGUGGACCUCCGGGACAGGGCUCAGGGAGGUGAAGGUUGAGGCUGUCAGGACGUCCCAACAGGCCGUGCCGUUGCUCACCCAGUCUAAAUCGACGACUCCUCCCCAGGACAACGAAGCAAACAUGGAGCCGAAGAGGCUCAGCUACGCCCAGAUCUGCCAGAGGGCGCGGGCCAAUCAGUCGCUGCCGCCCUCGGACCCCGCCUCCUCGGGGGAGGAGAGCCCGACCACGCCCUCGCCGCCCCCAGCCCCGGCCCCGGCGUAUCCCGCCCUGGGGUCCGAGGCAGCGCUGUUGUCACGGUGACCAGGGAGGACGAUGUGGUAGAGGACGCCACACCACCACCGGCCACGCCCGACCCGAAGGCACCCCUCCGUCCACCGCUGCCCGGCUCGGGGGGGGUUUGGCUUCAGCUCAGGUUACGGUUUUGGGGCGGGGUUAAGGAG
ensembl:lncRNA